GGGUUGUGAGGUUAAGCGACUAAGCGUACACGGUGGAUGCCCUGGCAGUCAGAGGCGAUGAAGGACGUGCUAAUCUGCGAUAAGCGUCGGUAAGGUGAUAUGAACCGUUAUAACCGGCGAUUUCCGAAUGGGGAAACCCAGUGUGAUUCGUCACACUAUCAUUAACUGAAUCCAUAGGUUAAUGAGGCGAACCGGGGGAACUGAAACAUCUAAGUACCCCGAGGAAAAGAAAUCAACCGAGAUUCCCCCAGUAGCGGCGAGCGAACGGGGAGCAGCCCAGAGCCUGAAUCAGUGUGUGUGUUAGUGGAAGCGUCUGGAAAGGCGCGCGAUACAGGGUGACAGCCCCGUACACAAAAUGCACAUGCUGUGAGCUCGAUGAGUAGGGCGGGACACGUGGUAUCCUGUCUGAAUAUGGGGACCAUCCUCCAAGGCUAAAUACUCCUGACUGACCGAUAGUGAACCAGUACCGUGAGGGAAAGGCGAAAAGAACCCCGGCGAGGGGAGUGAAAAGAACCUGAAACCGUGUACGUACAAGCAGUGGGAGCACGCUUAGGCGUGUGACUGCGUACCUUUUGUAUAAUGGGUCAGCGACUUAUAUUCUGUAGCAAGGUUAACCGAAUAGGGGAGCCGAAGGGAAACCGAGUCUUAACUGGGCGUUAAGUUGCAGGGUAUAGACCCGAAACCCGGUGAUCUAGCCAUGGGCAGGUUGAAGGUUGGGUAACACUAACUGGAGGACCGAACCGACUAAUGUUGAAAAAUUAGCGGAUGACUUGUGGCUGGGGGUGAAAGGCCAAUCAAACCGGGAGAUAGCUGGUUCUCCCCGAAAGCUAUUUAGGUAGCGCCUCGUGAAUUCAUCUCCGGGGGUAGAGCACUGUUUCGGCAAGGGGGUCAUCCCGACUUACCAACCCGAUGCAAACUGCGAAUACCGGAGAAUGUUAUCACGGGAGACACACGGCGGGUGCUAACGUCCGUCGUGAAGAGGGAAACAACCCAGACCGCCAGCUAAGGUCCCAAAGUCAUGGUUAAGUGGGAAACGAUGUGGGAAGGCCCAGACAGCCAGGAUGUUGGCUUAGAAGCAGCCAUCAUUUAAAGAAAGCGUAAUAGCUCACUGGUCGAGUCGGCCUGCGCGGAAGAUGUAACGGGGCUAAACCAUGCACCGAAGCUGCGGCAGCGACGCUUAUGCGUUGUUGGGUAGGGGAGCGUUCUGUAAGCCUGUGAAGGUGUGCUGUGAGGCAUGCUGGAGGUAUCAGAAGUGCGAAUGCUGACAUAAGUAACGAUAAAGCGGGUGAAAAGCCCGCUCGCCGGAAGACCAAGGGUUCCUGUCCAACGUUAAUCGGGGCAGGGUGAGUCGACCCUAAGGCGAGGCCGAAAGGCGUAGUCGAUGGGAAACAGGUUAAUAUUCCUGUACUUGGUGUUACUGCGAAGGGGGGACGGAGAAGGCUAUGUUGGCCGGGCGACGGUUGUCCCGGUUUAAGCGUGUAGGCUGGUUUUCCAGGCAAAUCCGGAAAAUCAAGGCUGAGGCGUGAUGACGAGGCACUACGGUGCUGAAGCAACAAAUGCCCUGCUUCCAGGAAAAGCCUCUAAGCAUCAGGUAACAUCAAAUCGUACCCCAAACCGACACAGGUGGUCAGGUAGAGAAUACCAAGGCGCUUGAGAGAACUCGGGUGAAGGAACUAGGCAAAAUGGUGCCGUAACUUCGGGAGAAGGCACGCUGAUAUGUAGGUGAAGCGACUUGCUCGUGGAGCUGAAAUCAGUCGAAGAUACCAGCUGGCUGCAACUGUUUAUUAAAAACACAGCACUGUGCAAACACGAAAGUGGACGUAUACGGUGUGACGCCUGCCCGGUGCCGGAAGGUUAAUUGAUGGGGUCAGCGCAAGCGAAGCUCUUGAUCGAAGCCCCGGUAAACGGCGGCCGUAACUAUAACGGUCCUAAGGUAGCGAAAUUCCUUGUCGGGUAAGUUCCGACCUGCACGAAUGGCGUAAUGAUGGCCAGGCUGUCUCCACCCGAGACUCAGUGAAAUUGAACUCGCUGUGAAGAUGCAGUGUACCCGCGGCAAGACGGAAAGACCCCGUGAACCUUUACUAUAGCUUGACACUGAACAUUGAGCCUUGAUGUGUAGGAUAGGUGGGAGGCUUAGAAGUGUGGACGCCAGUCUGCAUGGAGCCGACCUUGAAAUACCACCCUUUAAUGUUUGAUGUUCUAACGUUGACCCGUAAUCCGGGUUGCGGACAGUGUCUGGUGGGUAGUUUGACUGGGGCGGUCUCCUCCUAAAGAGUAACGGAGGAGCACGAAGGUUGGCUAAUCCUGGUCGGACAUCAGGAGGUUAGUGCAAUGGCAUAAGCCAGCUUGACUGCGAGCGUGACGGCGCGAGCAGGUGCGAAAGCAGGUCAUAGUGAUCCGGUGGUUCUGAAUGGAAGGGCCAUCGCUCAACGGAUAAAAGGUACUCCGGGGAUAACAGGCUGAUACCGCCCAAGAGUUCAUAUCGACGGCGGUGUUUGGCACCUCGAUGUCGGCUCAUCACAUCCUGGGGCUGAAGUAGGUCCCAAGGGUAUGGCUGUUCGCCAUUUAAAGUGGUACGCGAGCUGGGUUUAGAACGUCGUGAGACAGUUCGGUCCCUAUCUGCCGUGGGCGCUGGAGAACUGAGGGGGGCUGCUCCUAGUACGAGAGGACCGGAGUGGACGCAUCACUGGUGUUCGGGUUGUCAUGCCAAUGGCACUGCCCGGUAGCUAAAUGCGGAAGAGAUAAGUGCUGAAAGCAUCUAAGCACGAAACUUGCCCCGAGAUGAGUUCUCCCUGACCCUUUAAGGGUCCUGAAGGAACGUUGAAGACGACGACGUUGAUAGGCCGGGUGUGUAAGCGCAGCGAUGCGUUGAGCUAACCGGUACUAAUGAACCGUGAGGCUUAACCUUACAACGCCGAAGGUGUUU
rnacentral:rRNA from 1 species